UCUACUGUAAUGUGAAAAACCUUGAUAUGAAAAUAAUGGGGACAAGAUUAUUUAGGAAACCACAUAUACAAAACACACAACACAGCCAGCUCCACUAAACAUGCCAAAAAUCAGCAUGAUGUCCUUAACAAAUCAAUGUCAAAAGUUCCAUGAAAAUGGUCUACAAGUAUUGCACUUCAACAAAUAUAUCACUCGUUUGAUACACAAGACAUGGAAUUAAAUGAGCUAAAGACACAAUGCGAGGCUCCCAUCAGCUGUUCAAAAUAGCAGACAGUAGUGUAUACAAUAUGUACAUAUAGAUCGUGUAUUAAAUCAAAUCAAAGGAAAUCAUAGGUAUACACCAAUGGCUUUGACAAAGCUUUUGGCAAUGCCAUUAAGGUGGGUGACCCAAAUCAACUGGAAGAAGAAAAAAGUUGCACGCAAAUAGGAAAUGAGGAAUUUGAGAAGAAAAAUCCAGAUAUUACUAUCAACUUAGUGGUUUGGAGGUUAUUGCAUUCUUUCAACAAUGGUGGUUCCAAACAGAAAUUGUGGAAUCCACAUUCACAAGGUGUUGAAUACACAUUCACAAGGCGUUGAAUCUCCUUCAUUAUUGACUGCCACAUCCUCACCAUCAAUCUCUCCUUCAGAAUCAAAUAAAGCUUCUAUUCCUACCAAAUAACAUUUCUUUUGUUCCUACAAAAUAAUAUAGACAUAGAUCCCUCAAGAACCAACAAAUGAAAAUUUCCUGUAACAAAUGAACAGAUAUUCCGAAGAGAAAAAAAUAAUGCUAACAAUUUGUUGGCGAAUCUUAAGAUUUCCUUUAAUGCCUUUCCUCCAGCCAAAAAAUAAAUCAAACAAAACAAAAAUAAAGCAAAAGAACACCAGUAAAAAAAACUCCUCACCUUCGUUAUCCACGAUGAUCCGGACGAAAUAGCCACGUACUAGAAGUUGAUUCACAAUAGCGAGGCCUAAGAAAGAAACGCCACUGGUGAUGCACACCAUCUUCUCUUAUGACUGGUCCUUUGUAUCAUAAAAAUGAGGUAAUUAGAUUAUGACACAAAAACAAGCCUUAGAAAUCCAAGAAAACAUACAAUUACUUUCUUUUAUUUUCUUUUUA
rnacentral:lncRNA from 1 species